UACGUAGGUGGCGAGCGUUGUCCGGAAUUACUGGGCGUAAAGGGUGCGUAGGCGGGAUAUUAAGUCAGAUGUGAAAACCCCGGGCUCAACCUGGGGAUUGCAUUUGAAACUGAUAUUCUAGAGUGCAGGAGAGGGAAGCGGAAUUCCUAGUGUAGCGGUGAAAUGCGUAGAUAUUAGGAAGAACACCAGUGGCGAAGGCGGCUUUCUGGACUGUAACUGACGCUGAUGCACGAAAGCGUGGGGAG
rnacentral:rRNA from 1 species